GAUCUUGAGAUCUUGGAAAAUCUUUUGUUGAUUACUUGUUAGAAACGUUGGUUGAUCGGGUGACUUGACUACCCUUUUGGUCUUCAUAAGAGGUAAGUGCUAGAUUGUAUUUUGAAAGGAAUGUCUUAGAAUUUAAUACAUUCUUUGGUUGUCCUUUCAUCUAUUCUCUUGUUUCUAUCUAUCCUUCUAUCCUUUACUUUUCUUUAUUUUUGCACUUUAUUUCCCUCUUCCCAUUAUGUGGGUUAUCAUUUGGUGUCAGAGCUGCACUUGAUUUUAUUUUUAUGAAUUAAAUCUUGAAUUUUGUUAUCUAAAAAUCAAAAAUAAAAAUAGAGCCAAAAGUAUUUUUUCCAAAAGUUCCAAAAAGAUUUUCAUGUUUUUGAGUCAUUUUUGUUGUUUCAACACUAGAUUUAUUCCCUCUAAUGUUAUUAGAGUCGGAAUAUUGAGUUUUUGGGAUUGAUUGAGUGUAUUUGAGAAAACCCCAUUGUUGACCCUGAAUUUGAAGAAAGUGGGUUCUUAUUGAACUUUGGUUUGGAUUUAAGGAUGAAAAUGAUGAAAAGGUGUAUUCUACAUUGAAGAGACAAAUGUUGGUGCAAUUUGGAGAGAUUGAAAAUUCUACCAUUUUUUUGGGUUUAGAGGUUGAAGAAGAUACAAGUGGGUUUGAAAAAUAUGGAAUUUUUUGUGAUGAUUUGAGGAUUAAAAGUUGUUGGAAAGUGUUCUCCAUGAUAAGGGGAAACUUGGUUUAAAAUUUUGUGAAAUUUUGAGUCAAAACGAAGAAGUUGUGCAUUUUAAAUCUUCAAAAUUGUUCGUUGUUUUAUUGGGGAUAUUCAUAUCUUCAAGGAAAAUAUUCAUCAACAAGUGGUGUUAGAUCUAAAAUAAAGAAAGAUAAAAGAGUUUUGGUAUUAGUACAAAAGGAUAUCCAAAUAAAAAGAAAUAUUUCAGGAGAGAGAGAACCCAAAAGGACCCAUACAAAGGUGAAAAUUGAAGUUUUCAGGUGUUUUGUCUGGGCCACCUUCACAUCCAUCGGUGUGAUAAGAUGACCUUAGCCGGUCAUUCCAGUAGCUUCUGCUUUCACCUGCAAAGUCCACAUGCAUGGGUAGGUUACCAGAUGCAUCGAUACACCUCCAAAAUGCACUCAACCAUCUCAAGUUCCAUUUUACUCGGGUUCCAACUUCUUAGUUUCAUUUCUUGAUUAUUUUCUUAAAUUUUUUAUUCAUAAACUAAUUAACAACAAGUAAUUCACCUACUCAGUUGGUUAAUUUGUUCUUGAGUCCAUUUUCCUUCAUAGUCCAUUUCUUUUUAUUUUUCUCUAGUUUUUAUUUCUUAGUUAUUUCUUCAUUCAGGUCCUUAUUUUCUUUUGAGUCAUCCAUCCUUCUAAUGAAAAUGAAUCUAUUUCGACCGAGAGUAGCAUCAACACUUCAUCUAUCACCGCAUAUAACAAACCUUUAACAUUAAUUGCUCCAAUUGUGAGGCAUUCAAAGGUGAGAUUUUUUCGAAUGUUAGUGAGGAGUUUUGCUACUAACCUUGUUUGUUAGUUGUGUAGGUACUUGGAGUUAUAAGGAGGUAUUGUAGUUCCAAGGAUUAUAGCUAUGAUGGAGAUGACCAUUAUGGAGGAUAUGAAAAUAGCCAUGAUCGAGAGGCAUGUGGGAAUAAGAUGUAUUAUUAUGAAGGAGAAAAUGAUGGAUAUAACUCUUAUGGUGAAUAUAGAGGGGAUGAAGAGCCUUUUGAUUGUUCUUAUGAGGUUGAUAAGGCAUACAAAGAAUCCUCCACUUCCUACUUCAAGCAUGAAGAUGAUGAGAGUUAUACCACCUGCUCCUAUGCACCUUGUCCAACUUAUAUAAGAAAUAAAGGAAAUCAUAAUCUCCUUAGAAUACCCUUUCCUAUUUUCAAAGGAGAGGGAGAUCCCCAGGCUUACCUUGAUUGGGAAUGACAAUGUGAUAAAUUUUUCAAGGACUAUAAUGUGAGAGGAGUCGAGCAAACCCCGUGUAUCCUUAAACACCCUGGAAGGCUAGCAAAAAGUUAUUUUUAUGAUAUAGGCUACCCUCAAAGGCUUACAAUUAAUGGCUCCCUUCCACCAUGGAAUUCCUUGAAGAAGCUCUUUAAAGACAAUAUGUUCCAAAUAAAUACUCUAAGAUUUAUAAUGUUGAUUCAAGAAGACAAGCUUGGACAAGAUGAGUGGAUAUUUAUGGAAUUCCGAGAUGCAUUCUUUUCCUCGGUGAUAGUUGCAUGAAAAGUACAUCAUUCCUUUUAUGAUUAAAUAUUUAGGAUACCUCGAGUGCGAAAACAUCCUACAUAUUUCUUGGAAGGCUAUAGAGUUACCAAAAGUGUGAAGAUUUCUUUCACUCAGAAAGGAUAUUAUGAUGAGGUUUGGCCUGAUAUAUUUCCUUUGGACUUUGAGCAUUUUUAUUUUAGAACCAAUUGGUUUGAUGAGCAUGAAGUUCAAAAUAAGGAAAAUUGGCCCAAAAUCAUUAUAGACCAAUGGAGAAGUCAUUUUUUUCAUCUAUCCUUCCUAAUCAUCAAGGAAAUGACACUUACUCCACACCCAAUAAAAUAAGAGACAAAAAAUUGAGAGGAGCAAGGGAGUGCAGGGUAGAAAUCUAAGAUAAGAAAAAGGAGAGGUUGAGAUGAGUGAAGUAAGGGGUUUCCACAAACCCAAUCUAGCUUUAUUUAUCCUUCUCUUAGUAAGGACAUGUGUGUAGGUAAAAUAUGGCAAGCGGAAGGGAACAAGCACCCAAAAGGAGAUUACCCUUGAAUAUUUGAUGAGGAUAAUCCUAGAUGUUUCCAAAUCUUGCAAGGGAUUUUCAUCCCAAGGUUAAGAAGAAUCUUCUUAUGAUCUUCAAGAUAACAAAGCUAACUCUUGCACUUUAGUAAAUGUGAAUGAUCAUUAUGAGGCUAGUAUCCAAUUAAGUGUGAGUAAUAGCUUAACUUCAUAUGAGCCUAAUAAUUCUUUGCUUUGUAAUAAUACUAUACAAUUCGAGAGCGUGGAUACACUAGUUGAUUCUAUUGAUGACCGAAUUGAUUCUUCUUGUAAGAUCAAUUUGUGUCCACCUAUGGUUGAAGCUGUUAUGUUGAAUGAUAGUGCAUUAUCGUGUAAACAUGGUAUUGAUUAACUUGCUUGUGAAAUUAUCCUCCUACUUCAGGAUGUUUAUGAUGUGGUUAAUGUACCUCAAGUUAGUGAUGUUGUUGAUAAUGUUGACCAAUUGAAUAGGAGUGAACCUUUGAGAAAACCUUUAAAUGAAGAUCUUAUUAUUUGAUUUGCUCAUAGGGAUGAUCAUAUGUUUGAAAUUCCUUCGAAACUUGAUAGUUGUCUUUUUUACAAUGAACUUACAUAUUCUAAUCCUCCUUCUUAGAUUGAUCAUUCUCUUUUUAAGUACAAUAUCUUGUUUGAAGAUGAUGAACCCACUAUUUUGCCUAGUGGUGUGGAUCAUGUUAAUUAUGUGGCUUCUCUCAAAGGCUAUACCCUAUAUGAGAACCCAUUAUGGUGUGACAAUAUUCUUCUUACAAUAGAAAUCUCUUCUUGGAAGAUGACAGUACUCUUACGGGAAAAAAAUAUGAAGAAAUGAAAGGUGAUCUUUGUGUACCAAUUUUUAAUUCUUCUUUGAGUGUUCUAAUUCUUGAGCAUACUUUUGGAAAUAUUCAUGUACAUCAGAGUGAGCAUGCACCUGAGGACAUUUUAGAUGAAAUCAAUUUGUGUGACACCUUUCUUUACUCUCAAUUUUCCUUGGAUGAUAUUAUGCUAGUGUAAAGAGUAUAAAUUUUCUUAUUGGUGGUGCCUUUGGGGAAGUAGAGUAUUGUCUAGACCCUUUUCUAUGGCCACUCUAUCCGUUUGACUCCGAUAUUGAUUUAGGAGUAAUCCCUUUCUCAAAGGUUGUUAGUGCAUUGAGUGACAAUAAGGAUUUUCAUGUGUGGUUUCCUAAUUAUCAUGAUUCUCAUAGUAAACCUAUUUGUCAAUAUUUCUUUAGUAACCAAGUUAUUUUUACUAUGUGGGGUUGCAACUCUUUGAUUGCUCAUGUUGAUCCUUGGUUGUAUGUUAAGUGUAUGCCUUCUUGGCAUGGUGAUGCACCUGUUGUUACUAACUUUAACCCUCAUUCCAUGAGGAUAUUUUGGUUGAUCAUUUCCCUUUUGGUUUUGCGAGGUUCAUAUUCGAUGUCGAAUUCUUUUCAAGAAUGAGAGGAUGGUACAAGUCAAAUUGACGUCAACCUUUCUCGGCUUGUAUUUUAAGAGCAACUACAAAGGAACCAAGCCACAAGGAUCAUGAGGCCUCAAGGAUAUGUGUGGAGGUCUUUUUGAAGCUCCAAGAAGAACAAAAUCACAUGUGAAAGAUAGCUUAGAGUUAAGGGAGUCACUGGAGGGAUCAUCGGAAAGACAAAAGGAGCAAAACAACGAUAUGGAG
rnacentral:lncRNA from 1 species